GACGAACGCUGGCGGCGUGCUUAACACAUGCCAGUCGAACGGAAAGGCCCUGCUUUUGUGGGGUGCUCGAGUGGCGAACGGGUGAGUAACACGUGAGUAACCUGCCCUUGACUUUGGGAUAACUUCAGGAAACUGGGGCUAAUACUGGAUAGGAGCUCCUGCUGCAUGGUGGGGGUUGGAAAGUUUCGGCGGUUGGGGAUGGACUCGCGGCUUAUCAACUUGUUGGUGGGGUAGUGGCUUACCAAGGCUUUGACGGGUAGCCGGCCUGAGAGGGUGACCGGCCACAUUGGGACUGAGAUACGGCCCCGACUCCUACGGGAGGCAGCAGUGGGGAAUAUUGCACAAUGGGCGGAAGCCUGAUGCAGCAACGCCGCGUGCGGGAUGACGGCCUUCGGGUUGUAAACCGCUUUCGCCUGUGACGAAGCGUGAGUGACGGUAAUGGGUAAAGAAGCACCGGCUAACUACGUG
rnacentral:rRNA from 1 species